rnacentral:lncRNA from 1 species
CUUUUGUAAGCUGCCCUUUUGUUAAAGAAACAAGAAGAUUCUAUAUGGCUUCUUUGAAGAACAGCGUUCUUACAAAACUUCUCGAAGAGAUGAAAAUGGAAGAAAAGGAUUUCAACGAUGUGUAGAAACCUGUAUUAUUACAAAUCAAGAGCAUAAUACCUGUACUGGAAGAAGGUAAUCUUUGCCCUAAUAGAGGAUUUUCUUAAAUGCUUUAGAUAUGGAACACCAUGUAUUUGUUUAAUUGCCUCAAGAAGAUAAUGAUGUAAUUUUGGGUAACAUAUUAAAGCUUGGGUAAUUUGUAUAUUUGCUGAAGUUAGAUAAAGCUACCCCAAUUCCGUUGCUCAGAGGCAUAACCUGUAUUCCAGGGUGGCAUCUAUGCAUGUCAUUCAAGCAUUGCUUGUACCCCUUUACAAGGUAAGAGAUGCUCUAGAGUAGGUUGAUCGCGAGAUGGAAGUAUGCUCUUACUUGUUUUUGCAUUGUAUAUGCAACUUAGUUCAUGAUGUUAACUUUUAUUUUCAACAAUUCAUGUGCAUGUGUAUAGAAGUAUGCUAAUAGUUCAAUA